rnacentral:rRNA from 1 species
GAUGAACGCUGGCGGCGUGCCUAAUACAUGCAAGUCGAGCGAACGGACGAGAAGCUUGCUUCUCUGAUGUUAGCGGCGGACGGGUGAGUAACACGUGGAUACCCUACCUAUAAGACUGGGAUAACUUCGGGAAACCGUAGCUAAUACCGGAUAAUAUUUUGAACCGCAUGGUUCAAAAGUGAAAGACGGUCUUGCUGUCACUUAUAGAUGGAUCCGCGCUGCAUUAGCUAGUUGGUAAGGUAACGGCUUACCAAGGCAACGAUGCAUAGCCGACCUGAGAGGGUGGUCGGCCACACUGGAACUGAGACACGGUCCAGACUCCUACGGGAGGCAGCAGUAGGGAAUCUUCCGCAAUGGGCGAAAGCCUGACGGAGCAACGCGGCGUGAGUGGUGAAGGUCUUCGGAUCGUAAAACUCUGUUAUUAGGGAAGAACAUAUGUGUAAGUAAGUGUGCACAUCUUGACGGUAACUAAUCAGAAAGCCACGGCUAACUACGUG